rnacentral:lncRNA from 1 species
CGGUAAAUUGCCGCUUGUCGCUUAGGCCGCCCGUUGUGACUCGCUUGUGGGCGUGCUGGCAGCAUAUGGCAACAUGUUCGAUUGUGCAUCAAGAAUUCAGCAUAGCAAGUUCGUAUGAAGGUCUGGUUAUUAAAUGGGUACAUAGUUCAAUAGUAAUAUCCUCUAAAACGCUCUGGUGACAAACUUUGCUGCCCUGUUUCCAAUUGUCCACAUGGCUGGGAGAACCUAUUCAACACUGCACAGCUGAUUCAAAUGGUCAACUCCUCAUCAAGCUGCAAGUGAUACCUUGUAACUGGAGAUUACUUCAAAAUUAUUGCCUACAGUUAACGUGUAGGGCACUGCAAGGUUGGGUGACCAGGGCUAUCUGGGACUUCCUCCUGGAGGAAUUCAGGUGUGUGAAGGCUACCUGUGUCCUGCAUAACUUCAUGUGGAUGGACACGAGAACCAGGGGGGAUCUGCAGCUCGCCGCAGUGUGCCAGAGGAGAAGUCUGCUGCUCUGCAGGAUGUUUCAAGGAUGGUGUCCAACAAUGCAACAAGAGGCAAUCCAUGUGCGAGAGAUUUUCACCUCCUAUAAUUAGACACCCUAUUACCUACACACUCAUGUCUCAAUUUGAUUGAUGGAUUGUGUUGUGCAGUAAGCAGGCUCAGGUGUAUAACUGUGUCUACUUCCACCUUAAAAGAAUAGGCAAGAGGGCCAACCAUGGAGAAUAGUAAGACACUUCAUUAUUUGUUUAACUACGCUAUAUUUUUUUGUCCUCGUGUGUCCGUUCAUGUUUUUCAGCAUAAAGUACUCCGCAGCUGCAGAUUCCUGUUUUCCCUUUAACUACCUUAUUUUCUCAAUAACAGUCUCUCUGUCACGGUUGUCGUCUGGAAUGGAGGACCAAAACGCAGCAGGAAUGUGGAUGCUCAUCUUGAUAUUUAUUUGAAAUCAAAGUGACCAACGACCUCACGAACAACAAAACAGUCUUGUAAUGCUCACACAGGUAAAACAAGAAACAAUCUCCCACAAACAAUUACCCAUAUAUAGGACUCUCAAUCAGAGGCAACGAGAAAGCACCUGCCUCCAAUUGAGAGUCCACCCCCCCCCCAUUAACCUAAACAUAGAAAUGCAACUAACUAGACUAAACAUAGAAAUACAUUAACAAGGAACAGUGCCCAAAAACCCCGGAAUACAUAAAUCAAAUACCCUUCAACAAAAACACCACCCCGAACCACAUAAAACAAAUACCCUCUGCCGCGUCCUGACCAAACUACAAUAACAAAUAACCCUUAUACUGGUCAGGACGUGACACUCUCUCCUUCACUUCAUCCCUCUUCUCCCUAAAUCCACUAGGUUAUAUCAGCUGUGUCGUGUCAGUUUUGCAUUUCACCUGAUUAAUAUGAUGAGUUACAAUGUUAGAAUAAAAACAAGGCUUAAACAUGCUCUCUCGCGCUCUAACCUUUGGGCCGACAAGACACUUAUGUAAUUGUGAUGCACUGAGAGAAUAUUUGGGUAGCACUGUGAUUCAUUAAUCAUAUCCCUGCUCCUAUGUUCUUACCUCUGUCUUUUAUACCUCUCUCGCCACCUAAUCUUUCUUCCUCUGUCUUUAUUAUGCUCAACAGAUGUGCAUUGACAGACAGAUUGAACUUGUAUUUAUAACACUUGGAUAAUUAACUGUGUUUCACAUUCUCUACUGGUUGAAAUUAAGUCUCUCAAUUGAUGAAAUACUAUACCUGUCCCGUGUUUAUCAGAUCAAUGCAGAUGAAGGGCAUUGGAUAUUGAGAUGAACCGGUUUUAGAGUAUUUAUAUGAUGCAUAGGAAGUGUAGUGUACUGAUGCAUAGGAAGUGUAGUGUACUGUUUUUAAAAAUUCUAUUUCUGUAUAUAUCAAUUACAAAUCAGCCUUUAACUAGUUAAAUCCUGUUUCUAGUCUAUUAGUUACAAUGUGUGACCAUUGAUGUCCCAGGACCAAGAUUGGUAAACACUGUUGAAGUGUAUAAUUGUAAUGCAUACAUGCAGACACAGCAUCAUUCAAAUACUGGAAUGUGAUACUCCUGGUAUUGGAUAUGACUGAAAGAUUAUCUCAGACAUUCAUACCUGAACUGCAC